rnacentral:lncRNA from 1 species
CUCUCCCUCGACGGUGACGCCAUGCAAAGGUGGAGAGCCAUUCAUGAAACCCUGUGAUUGUGUCUGUUAGGCAGGAGAGAACUUAUAUUUUUCCUAUUCCUAUAUCCCUGGUUUCUGGAAGUUUCCCGAUAGUGAGAAAUUAGAGGGGAUUAAUUUAUCUUUUCUCUACUCCAUCUGAGUGAGCCCUGGAGUGAAUACAGAGCCUUAACCAUGGAAAGGUGAGACGGGGAGAGGCCCCCGCCGCAGGAGUCAGUAGAUGAGGAUUCUCAUCCUGCCACCCACGGUGUGAUUUUAGCUGCCCAGAGAGGCACACCCAGCUGGACACAUGCUUCUCUGCUUAGUCACCAGUGGCCAUACCCUAGCCUGGCACAGCUGGAGCCUCCAGGAGCCCAAACAGGGAAAACUCAUCUGCAGACCGCACCAGCUUCACAGGCAGUAACUCGGGAGCUAAGGACUUGGCAAAAACAGGCACCGUACCCUAGAUAGUAUCGUGCUGAACAGACGCUGCCCCCUGCCCUGUCUGCUGAGCUCUUCCUCC